rnacentral:rRNA from 1 species
CGCGUGAGGAACCUGCCUUUCAGAGGGGGACAACAGCUGGAAACGGCUGCUAAUACCGCAUAACAUAUAGGUAUCGCAUGGUGCCUAUAUCAAAGAUUUAUCGCUGAAAGAUGGCCUCGCGUCUGAUUAGCUAGUUGGUAGGGUAACGGCCUACCAAGGCGACGAUCAGUAGCCGGACUGAGAGGUUGACCGGCCACAUUGGGACUGAGAUGCGGCCCAGACUCCUACGGGAGGCAGCAG